AUAGGUUUGGGACAAAUAGUUAAGACGUUGUGAUUAAUCUUGGUAGAAUUAAGCAUAAAAUCCCAGGAAGAGGACGUCAAAAUAAUAUUAGGUCUGACUUGGUGACGCUCGCAAGCUUCAAGCACUAAAUGGUGAACCGUGAAACUAGGAUCAAAUAGGGCAAGUUGUUCAUCUGUUAAAUCUUCCCACUGAAUAACUUUUUUGGAAGCUAAACGAUGGCGUGGAGACAGGCAUACAGAUAAUUCUGAUCUCUGGAUUUCAUAAGUCUCAACCAAAUUAUCAGCGAUGCCUGUUGGGGAUAACAAGACUGCGACGUCAACAUUUCCCACGAGUAGUUCAUUUUUUAGUUGGUAAGCACCAAUCUCCUUAACAUUGAAUUGAAUCCCCGGAUUUUCUAAAAUCAGUUUUGGCAUUACUUCUGAGAAAACAACUGAUAAAAUAAGAGGAGGAAUACCAAUAUUGAUACUUCCCUUUAACCCUUUACUGUGAUCAUGCAAUUUCAAAAACAUGUCAUCAUAGAGACUGAGAACCUUUUGAGCGUCCUUAUAAUAAUUAUCACCAAGAUAGGUUAACCCAAUAAUACGACCUCUUUUUCGUUUGAAGAGCUUAACAUUUUCUCUUUUUUCAAAAUCAUUGAUCAUCAUGCUAAGUGUCGGCUG
rnacentral:antisense_RNA from 1 species